AAUUUAAUUCGGUUCGGUUUGGUUUGGUUUGAACCGAACACUCACCCCUACUUCUUCCUUUAUGAUUAAAAAUAAGGGAGUCCCCAAUACACCAGGCUCCCUGCCCUGCAAUGGGCAGGAGAGGUGCAUCUAUUGUAGAGUGAGGUAUGCACGAAUAAGCAUUGCUGUUCUGUUACAUAUAGCUUACUACAGAACUUGAUGCAACUAGAGCAGUGUCUUUAUCAUUUCAAUAGUUGAAU
rnacentral:misc_RNA from 1 species